CUGUGGCCUGCCCGGCCUUUCUGAUAUUUCAGGUUUAGAAACAGCCACUGGUAGGCUAGGUCCCCAUUUGGAGCGGUGGCAGCAAGUAAGACAAUUAUGUAGACCACGCCUGCACCUUGCAGACCCCGGCCAUGCAAAGCAUUUUCAGUCUCUCGGAUCUCAAGUUCACAAGGGUCGACUUGCAGAAGUGAUCGUAGUCCAAAAGCAGUCAGUGCCUGUUAAACACAUUACCCGCUUUCCCUGGAACUGCCGUAUUUUCUUUUAAGUGGAAAUUUUUAUGUUGUGUUUUCCUAUUUGGUGCAUGAAAAUGUGGUUCUUGCAAUACUUAAAAGGGCUUCUCUGCCUUCUCAUUCAUUUUUAAAAUUUUGAUUUGGACUCUAAAAGUAUUGUUUUACAGGCUUCUCCCUUUAGCAGGUGUAGUUUGAACAGCCUCCUCUAAACUGGGUUUGACCUCUGUUGUACUGAUGUAUUGUGACUAAAUAAAAAGCAAACGACAAUAUUCGCUGCCGUGUCUGUCUUCCUUAGCCUUUCCCCGUGUUGACUGAGAGAAACCUCCAGUUUCUUGGUUUUCAUUUUUGCCUCACGAUUGGUUUUCGUCCAUUUGCCAGUUUCAUUAUUCUUGGAAUUCUAGGCUGUGUGCAUUUGUACCACCAAAGGGAGUGACUUUGUUAGACUGCACUGCUUCUUUGCUUGGCCUCCUGGGAGUGAACUGUGGCUGAUCUGACUGUCAGUCAGGUGGUCUGCCCCUGAACUGUCUCUAGACUCAGAUUCAGGCUGGGCUCUGCAGUUAUUAGUAAUCACUUUAAGCUGUGGUCGAUCAUUUGAUGAGUGCUGAACGCACCUACUGUGCGCUCAGUUCUUUGCUGACAAAACCAGACAUUUCAUACGUCUAUUUGUUUUUGUUUUUGUGGGAAAACAGGACCGCAGUGGCCUUGUAGCUGAGCCUGCAGAGAAGGCUUGGUGUAGCAUUGUGAUGAGCAGUUGGCGGUCUGUAAUUCUGCACCUGCAAACUUCCAAGGAGUCUUCCCUUGUCUAGUUUCUAAGGAACGCACUUAACCCUUGGAUCACGCUGUGCUCCUGACGGUGUGUUAGGAAGCAGACAUAUGCUUUAAGUUAGAAAAUAAUGCUACCAUGACAGAGGCAGUAAUUGGCCACAGAAGAAUGCCUUCCAGUGCCUUGAAGAUCCUGCCAAUGGAGGGGCACCGCCUCUCAAGCAGUUUGCCUUGAUCCCACCAGUGGCAAAGAGGAGAGAAGGCAGAACCCACUCUGGCAGGCGACAAUAGUGUUCCUUUACUUUGGGCAACGACUGCGGUCGACCUCCCUGAUGAGAAAGCAAAGACAACACAAAGCGAAGUUUAGACUUUGCAAUUGGGCAAUAGCUUCUGGGUCUCUGGGAAGGGCAGGAGGCUGGCUCUUGGGUUUCCAAUGUGAGGAUGCCAUUCAAGCCUUUGCUCUGUGGCCUCAACCAUUGGUCUCUCUUGAGAUCCUUGGCUUGGUCCUCAGCAUUGCCUGUGCCGGUGCAGACACUCUCUGCCUGUCACAGGGCUGUGAUGGAAAGUGUUUUGAUGAUCUUGCCAGGCAUGUUUAAAUUUAGCAAACACAGCUUUCGGUGGUGCUACCGCGUACCGAACAGCAUUGUGCUUUCUUUCACUCCCACAGCGUGCUGAUACCUAGGCUGAUGGCUGCUAAUGCGGUUUGCAGAACGAGCUGUGGAAGUGUGAGAUACCUAAUGUGUCAUCCUUGUCACCAGGACGAUGGCUGUGUCAUGAUCUGUUAAGAAGAUGCCAGCAUGGUGGCCUGGACUCAGCACCCUCAACGCACCCCACCAGAAGGCAUGGCCUGACUUCCGGAAGUAAGAAGCCCCAGCAAAAAGGAAAGAAUUUGAACCAGCUUGAAAUCCAGGGCUCAUCUCGAGCUUGCUGGGCUGCAGGGUCCUCUAGGAUGCUUCAGAUUCUCCAGGGGUUGAUGCUGCAAGUUGGGGUGGUACAAGCAAGACAAGGAGGAAGAAAUCCUGGCUUCCUUUACCACUGAAGCCAAGCCUAAGGACCUUAGAUAGAUUCUUGGAACCCGCAUGGUAGAAGGGGAAACCAGCUCCUGCAAGCUGUCCUCUGACCUUCAGGUGAGUGCUGUGGUACAUACAUGUCUCCAUACUUUUACCCCAAGGCACCACAAGCAGAGCUCAGCAAUGCAGUGUAAGGUGAACCAGUGCAUGCCGGUCAUUAGUGAAGACUAGCGAGGUGGAGCAGAGCAAACCUAUGCUGAAUAUCGUGCACCCUUUUACAUGUUUGCUACAACAAAACAUCCCUUCAGUUGUAUCUGCUUCAGGAAACCAUUCACGCACAUGUCUGCAAGACAUCCUGUGUGCCCCAGCAAAACA
rnacentral:sRNA from 1 species